rnacentral:lncRNA from 1 species
NGCCCCGCCGCCGGGAACCGGGAACCGGCACCAGCAACCCGGCACCGCCGGGAACAGGCAGCGAUCAGGGACCGACCCGGGAACCGGCACCGACCUGCCGACGGCACCCGGGAACCGGGACCUGGCACCGAUCCGGCACCGCCAGCACCCGGCACCGAUCAGGGACCGACCCGGGAAUUGGCACCGACCCGGCGCUGCCGGGAACCGGCACUGACCUGCCGACGGCACCCGGAAAUCGGCACCGACCCGGCACCGACCCGGGAUUGCCGGGACCAGACACCGACCCGGGAACCGGCAUCGACCCACUGACAGCACCUGGGAACUGGGAACCGGCACCAGCGACCCGGCACCAGCGACCCGGCACCGCCACCGCCGACAGCAUCCAGCACCCGGGACCAACCCGGCGCCACCGGGAUCCGGCAGCGCCGCAGCUGCUGGGACCCGCCGGGACCCGGCAGCAGGAACCGGGGCCGCCCCGGGACCAACCUAGCCGGGCCGGGAGCAGGACGGCACCGGGACAGCGACCGGGACCGGGACAGCACCCGACCUGCCCCGGCACCGCCGCAGCUGCCGGCACCCGGCACCGGCACCAGGACAGGGACAGGGACCGCGACCGGGACGGCACCGGAACCACCACCGCAACCGGGCCCGGGCCGGCACCAGCACCAGCACCGGGCUGGAGUGGGAUGGGGACAGGAUGGGGACCAGGACCAGGAUGGCACCUGGAGCAGGACAGGAGCCGGAUGGGGCUGGGGACGGCGCUGGGACAGCGAGGGGCCAGGGAUGGCGGGGACAGAGGCCACAGGGCCCCGCGCGCUCCAGGGUGCUGCGUGCGCACACGCGUGUGYGAGCGUGUGUGUACACAUGCACAUGCAUAGUGCAACCCCCCCUCAGGGGCUGCCCAGGCGUGUGCACACGCAUGUCUGUGCGGCUCCCAGGAUGGGCACGUGUGCGCGCAGACCCCCUCGGGAACACGCGGAGGUACACGUGCACAUGCACGGCUGCACACGCGUGUGCACGCCGUCACGGCGUGUCCGUGCCCACGUGGGCAUGCAGCCCCUCGGGGGAAGGGCCACGCUGCAUGUCCGUGGYGACGUGUGUGCAGGAAUGUGCACGCGGUCACAGGCCAUAUUGAGCAAAUGCACUGGGCACACGCGUGCACAUGCGUUCAGCAGAUGUGCCUACACGUGUGUGCAG